CUGUAUUGUAUUUCCUCAAAACAAACCUUAAGAUUUCGCGAUAACUUUAGGAAUAGGAAGUAAAAAUAACUAACUCUGCUUAUGAUUUUAUUUACCAUUGAACUAGAUGUGUUAAAAAAUAACGAAAGAAUAAUAUAUUUUCCACAAGGUUUCACAGCGUUUUCGGCCGCGGUAAUGUAGAUUUAUUAGAACUGCAAAAGAGCUUCUAUAAACUUUCAUUUAGCGUGUAACUCCCACGAGUCGCCCUUUUUCUCUCUCAUAAAUUCAUUAAAAAGGUUCAGUGUUUUAGACUUAAAAAAGAAAGUAAAAAUGUAUGACCGUACUCAGGAUAAUAGUUAAUGCUUUAAUACAUUUAGGGUCUUACUAAUAAACAUUUAUACACGCUGUAUACACGCUGUAUACACGUGUUAUAGCAUAUUCAUUACUAAUAAUCAAUGUAUAGGGGUUGUCAUCUUAUACACCCGUUAUAACAGUUGUAUAAGUGUAUGUCAUUUUACACAAUCCUUAUUCAGUCAAAUAAGCUUGUUUAGCGUGUGAAUAACCAACAAAUAACUUAUUGUCGUGGCUUAUCUCGUAAUAUAUUUUAAUUUAGUGGUUAUGAUGGAUUAUUUCGAAUAUCUGCGCCAUUUUAAUAUUCUUGAGUUGGACAAUGAGAAACGACCAAGAAAGGCAAAACCUUAUAAAACACGUAUUGAUUUCUUUUCUUUCGAAAAAGAUGAAUGUAAACGUAAAUACAGGUUUACUAAGAGAUAUGUCAGAGAAGUGGUGGACUUGAUCCGAGAAGACAUAGAACAAACAAAGAAGGUUGGCUGGCGGCUUCUCUGUGGAGCUUCAAGUUUGUGUAGCUCUCAGGGUAUGGGCGUAGUACAAGACGAUGCAGCUAACAUACACGGCAAGAGUCAAAAAUCAAACACUUACUUCCUCUUGCUGUACUGUAAAUUCUUUAAAUGUUUGAAACUGGUAAUCAGCCACCAUUUCAUCAACAACAGAGUCAGGCAUCAUACGAUAUUACUGGACAAAUUGCAAGACAAUUGUUUAUAAGAACACAGUUUUAACAAACAUUUCCUUAAAAUAAAAGAACAAGUUUAUACUGAGAA